CAGCAGUGGGGAAUAUUGGGCAAUGGGGGAAACCCUGACCCAGCAACGCCGCGUGAAGGAAGAAGGCCCUCGGGUUGUAAACUUCUUUUAGUAGGGACGAAGGACGUGACGGUACCUGCAGAAAAAGCAACGGCUAACUACGUGCCAGCAGCCGCGGUAAUACGUAGGUUGCAAGCGUUGUCCGGAUUUACUGGGUGUAAAGGGCGUGUAGGCGGAGAUGCAAGUCAGGAGUGAAAUCCCGGGGCUCAACCCCGGAACUGCUUUUGAAACUGUAUCCCUUGAGUGUCGGAGAGGCAAGCGGAAUUCCUAGUGUAGCGGUGAAAUGCGUAGAUAUUAGGAGGAACACCAGUGGCGAAGGCGGCUUGCUGGACGAUAACUGACGCUGAGGCGCGAAAGCGUGGGGAGCAAACAGGAUUAGA
rnacentral:rRNA from 1 species